rnacentral:rRNA from 1 species
CGUGAGAUGUUGGGUUAAGUCCCGCAACGAGCGCAACCCUUGUCCUUUGUUGCCAGCGGGUAAAGCCGGGAACUCAAAGGAGACUGCCAGUGGCAAACUGGAGGAAGGCAGGGAUGACGUCAAGUCAUCAUGGCCCUUACGGUCAGGGCUACACACGUGCUACAAUGGGGCGUACAGAGGGAAACGAUACCGCGAGGUGGAGUGGAACCCAAAAAGCGUCCCUAAGUUCGGAUUGGAGUCUGCAACUCGACUCCAUGAAG